rnacentral:misc_RNA from 1 species
GCUUCACUCUCAUCUUCAUUUCUCUCAACAACACUUUCUCCAAAUUAUUCUCAAAAUCAUCAUUUAUUUCUUCCAAAUAAUCCCAAUUUGAAAAUUACCAAAAGGACCUCCUUCAACAUUCAGGCUGCAAAGGUUCCACCUGGGGUGGAGUUGCCAAAAGAAGUACCAAAGUUGAGCAAACCCCUUUUGGGUUUUACUAAUACUGCUGAGAUAUGGAACUCUAGAGCUUGUAUGAUUGGUCUUAUUGGUACAUUUAUUGUGGAAUUGAUUUUCAACAAGGGAAUUCUUGAAAUGAUUGGUGUAGAAAUUGGAAAAGGCCUUGAUAUUCCUCUCUAAAUGUUGUGAAUCUUUAAAUU